CGCGGUGCAUUAGCUAGUUGGUGAGGUAACGGCUCACCAAGGCCACGAUGCAUAGCCGACCUGAGAGGGUGAUCGGCCACAUUGGGACUGAGACACGGCCCAAACUCCUACGGGAGGCAGCAGUAGGGAAUCUUCGGCAAUGGACGAAAGUCUGACCGAGCAACGCCGCGUGAGUGAAGAAGGUUUUCGGAUCGUAAAACUCUGUUGUUAGAGAAGAACAAGGAUGAGAGUAACUGUUCAUCCCUUGACGGUAUCUAACCAGAAAGCCACGGCUAACUACGUGCCAGCAGCCGCGGUAAUACGUAGGUGGCAAGCGUUGUCCGGAUUUAUUGGGCGUAAAGCGAGCGCAGGCGGUUUCUUAAGUCUGAUGUGAAAGCCCCCGGCUCAACCGGGGAGGGUCAUUGGAAACUGGGAGACUUGAGUGCAGAAGAGGAGAGUGGAAUUCCAUGUGUAGCGGUGAAAUGCGUAGAUAUAUGGAGGAACACCAGUGGCGAAGGCGGCUCUCUGGUCUGUAACUGACGCUGAGGCUCGAAAGCGUGGGGAGCAAACAGGAUUAGAUACCCUGGUAGUCCACGCCGUAAACGAUGAGUGCUAAGUGUUGGAGGGUUUCCGCCCUUCAGUGCUGCAGCUAACGCAUUAAGCACUCCGCCUGGGGAGUACGACCGCAAGGUUGAAACUCAAAGGAAUUGACGGG
rnacentral:rRNA from 1 species